rnacentral:rRNA from 1 species
UAGGGGGCACGUAGUUGGGCAUGCGAGCGGGGUGCCUCGCCCCCCAGAGGGGGACUUUAAAACAGAUUUGUUGUUCUGGGUUCUCGUAAGGUCGGCGCUCGCAGUCCUCAAAGAUUGGCCCCUCAGGGCGGGCCUCGGCCCCCGCAUUCUAAUCCACUUUAACACCUGUGCACCUUUAGGCGAGUGCCCUCCAUUUGGAGCCGUCUGGCGUUUCGGCGUCGGACCGGGGCGCUCUCCGCCCCAAACACACCACUGCCUGUCUUGUAACGCAUGUAAACCGCCCCAAGGGGUGAUAAAGUUAAUACAACUUUCAACAACGGAUCUCUUGGCUUUCGCAUCGAUGAAGAACGCCGCGAAAGUGCGAAACGUAAUGUGAAUUGCAGAAUUCAGUGAAUCAUCGAAUCUUUGAACGCAUCUUGCGCUCCUUGGUAUUCCGAGGAGCAUGCCUGUUUGAGUGUCGUGAAACCCUCUCGGACCUGCCCCUUUUGCCGGGGUGGGUUUGGAUUUGGACGCCUGCGGGUCGCCGCUCGUCUUUAAACGCAUUAGCUGGUCCCUUUGUGGUCGGUCCGAACGACGGUGUGAUAACGAAAUGCUUAGUGCGCCGUUCGUUGCCCGGCCUGGGUCGCUUAGAGCCGUCCUCCUUGGACAACCUUCAUGUCAUUCUGACCUCAAAUCAGGUAGGACUACCCGCCGAACUUAA